rnacentral:rRNA from 1 species
AGUACGGCCGCAAGGCUGAAACUUAAAGGAAUUGGCGGGGGAGCACUACAACGGGUGGAGCCUGCGGUUUAAUUGGACUCAACGCCGGAAAACUCACCGGGGGCGACAGCAAUAUGUAGGUCAGGUUAAAGGUCUUACCUGAAUCGCUGAGAGGAGGUGCAUGGCCGUCGUCAGUUCGUACUGUGAAGCAUCCUGUUAAGUCGGGCAACGAGCAAGACCCGUGCCCACUGUUACCAGCAUAUCCUUUAUGGAUGAUGGGGACUCUGUGGGGACCGCUGCUGCUAAAGCAGAGGAAGGUGCGGGCUACGGUAGGUCAGUAUGCCCCGAAUCUCCCGGGCUACACGCGGGCUACAACGGUUGGGACAAUGGGUAUCUACUCCGAAAGGAGUUGGCAAUCUCUUAAACCCAAUCGUAGUUCGAAUUGAGGGCUGUAACUCGCCCUCAUGAAGCUGGAAUCCGUAGUAAUCGCGUUUCAACAUAGCGCGGUGAAUCUGUCCCUGCUCCUUGCACACACCGCCCGUCAAACCAUCCGAGUGAGGUAUGGGUGAGGGCACGAACUUAGUGUCGUGCUCGAACCUAAAUUUCGCAAGGAGGGUUAAGUCGUAACAAGGUAGCCGUAGGGGAAUCUGCGGCUGGAUCACCUCCU